UGGUGUUGGUGUCUUUGAAAAAAAAUUCUUAGUUCUUGGGCAACAGUACUAGCAGAGUAUAAUAAAGUUGUCAAAGCCUAGAGCUCGGCUUGUUUAACUUCUGUACCAUGGCGUCUUUACCAGAGAACAGUGCAUGUUUGAAGCACCAUGGAAACUUAGCUUUUCUAAAAGUGUG
rfam:Oryctolagus cuniculus chromosome 18, whole genome shotgun sequence.